CGGGACGCUACGCGGGGGACCGAGGAGUUGGCCCGUGCGGGAGCAUCCCCGCGGCGGCGGCUCCGCGCGCUCUGUCCGCACCCGGGCUGGGCUCAAUUUGAGGAAAAGGGGUUUCCAAGGCUGUUGUGGUCUUCAGGGCACUGCGGAGCUCCAGUCUCACUGUUGAGUUCUCACUCUGUAUCUCUUUGACUGUGACAAAUUGCUGCUGUAUUUGCUGGUUCUCAAGAUAUGAAAGACAAAAGUGAAAUCAGACCUGGCCGUUGAUGAGUACAGAGAAGUUAAUGGAGCCAAAGAGCAUUCUCUGUCCAAGGGCAUUAUUGUACACUGAAAAGUUCUCAGUCAUUAUGUAGAUUUUUUUCCUGCUUGCUGAAGAGGCACUGGGCAAAGGGGAUUUCUGUGUGCUGGGAUGGCACCUGGUUUGAACCCCCAGAGCAAUUCCUACAGCUUUAUGGAAAUCAUGCAUCUCAGUCUUUCAAGGACCUCAGAAGUCCUGUUGGGAGUUGAACACUAAGGGAUUUCACAAGUUCUCUCCAUGGACAAAUCUGCAGGACCAGGGUACCCUGGGCUUGUAAGAGUAUUUUUGAGACCAUGCAUCAGAAGUCAGAUAAAGUAACACAAUAAGAUUAAGGAAAACAAUAAAUGCUGUUUAUUCCAACAGAGUACAUGGUAUCUAACUUUUAAGAGAACUGGAAAUUGAGUUACAAAAACUGAAACAAAACCCCAAAACCUUAAAAAAUCAUUGAUUUGCAGCUGCCUAAAACUCUAUUUCAUCCCCCCAUUUUCAUUCUGUGGUGUGGCAGCCUGGGAGAACCCACACUCACAACCUUUAUGGCAGCUUUUUUUUUUUUUCAAUCCCUGUCCCACCCACCUUUUUUUUUUUUUACAGGUUUCUUCAUUUUGCAGCUAGUGAGUACAGAUUGACUCUCAAAGAAAUGUGCUCUAUUUUCCUAUGGCUAGAUUUGGAAAUACCAGUUUAUGUUCCUUUCACGCUGGCAAAAAUGCAAAGACAACAUUGCCAACUGUGCUUUUCCUGACCAGGCCGUUGGUUUUGAUGGAUGCCUUGCCUUCUGCACGCAUGGAGGGAGGAAGCUCUCUCAGUGGGCUUGCUUUCCUCCUGCUGUGGCUGAGCUCCCUAGCCAGCCAGUCCUUCUAACUCAGACAGAGGUAUUUGCUUUUUACAGAACUUCCCAGGUCACCUACAUUAAAGAGCAGUGUGUGGAUACUGUAUUAAAUCAAGCAACUGUCCCGCGUCUGUUUGAUCAGGUUAGACAUGAUACAUAAACAUACUAGAAAAUGGUUUCAGCAGUGGAGUUCAGACUGUGCAACACCCACCUUGAGGCACUGGCAGUUUUAGGAGGGUGCAUUCCAGACGUUAAAGCUCUUGUAGUGAAAAUGAUGGACACUGCAUUGCGGAAAGAGCAAAAAGCUCAGUAAAAAGAAUCUGUCAUGCAAUUGCAUGCUCUGAUGAUCACAGCUUUAUCACAUUCACUGAUCUUGCUCUUCUAAGAAAUUGUCAUACCAUGCUACAGGGCAGAAGCUUAAGAGCCUGAAAAGAAAGUGUAUUUUUGUGAAGUAUGGAUAACACUCUUAAUUUUCACUUGCUGAAUUUUCUCCUUGCUGGCUUCUUUUAGAGCAUCCAUAACUCAGAUUUACUUGACAGCACUACAGAAACAGACAUGGUUGAUAUCUUGGGAAUCAAAGACAUGAUGAUUUUUUUUUUCAAGGGCUGUCUAGGCUGUUUUAUCCUUCCCAGCCUAAUGGAGGUUUGUUUGGUACAAGACAUCCUCUGAUGAUAAUAACUUUCAUCAUUUAUGAGCAAAGUUUAUUUUUUAGUGAACUAAAAAUGUUCUUCCUAAGGAGAUUUCCCCCAUUUUCUUUUGGGCCAAUUUGUCUAGCCUGAGAUCUGAGUUUAGAUUUCCGUUGUGCUUUUUCUUCUCUCUCUUUUUUUUUUUUUUUUUUUUUUCCUAUCUGAAGAGGUUUCCUCUGCUGAAAACCUUCAACAACUGCUCAGAUCAUUUACAAGAAGCACUUUCACAGGGAGUAGCUCUACAAAAGAGAGGAAAAAUCGAAGUGACUACCUAUAAUAAUGAAGUUAAAUGCAGUUUUAAGUGUUUGUGAACUGAACUGACUGAAAGGGUGCCAAAUAUUUUGCAAAUAUAUACAAAAAGACAGGCCCCUGCUCUAAUCAGCUUGUAAAUUAAAAGGAAAGUACAUUGGCAAGAGCAGAAGAGAUGAUAUGACAUGCUUUAAAUAGUUUAUAGGGAGCUGGAGAAUUGUUGUUUAUUUGGUGAUGUUGGGAAAAUAUUUAAUGUGCUUUGGUUAAGCUCUUUAUAGAAAUGCUUCUCCUCCCCCAGUUUUCUUUUCCAAUGACUGUUUUGGAGAUUAAAACCAGCAAGUUUAGAGUAGAUGGAAAACGGAGAAACCUAUUUCGAAAUUGUCAAAACCGCGAGUAAAUCUUUAUAGAUACUUUUUAUGUGAGUCAGGCUUUCUAAAGUAAUUAUCGUAAUAUAAGAAAGGAUCAUCGCUUCGCCGCCCCUGCGGACGGCGAGCCAGUGUCGCAGCUGGUGUAAACUGAGAUAGCUCCUAUCUGCUGUGCGUGGCUGGGGAGGAGGUGGCCGUGACCCCCCUUUGCGGCUUCCCGGGACAUCCUCGGGCUGCGCCGGGCGGCAGCGGCGGCUCCCGGGGCUCCCCGCACCUCCGCUGCUGCCCCAGCGCUCUCAGAUAACCAAUUGUUAGCGUUUAAAGGUUUUCUACAGCAAGCAUACAGUUUAUUGAAAAACAGAUCAACAAACAAAAAAGCCCAAACCACUUUAUUUUUAGAUUUAACUUGCCGCUGCUGGAGUCAGACCAAAGUGGGGUGCAAUUGCAUUUCCGAGGGCACAGCACUGGGGCAAGCUCCCGGUGCUGGUUUGGAAGGCUCAGAUAGGUAAAUUAAUAUUUCCUUUAACGUCGUCUUCCCAGAAUCUGGAAGGUGACUCCGGCAUCUGGGAGGUUUUUGCCUCUCUCCCUGCUGUUUAAUGUUGUUGGUGAUAUCUCCGCAGAUAAGUGACUUCAGUGCAUCCGGAGUUUGCGUUCAAAGCAGAGACUAAUUGUGGGGAAUAUUUCAGAAUAAACACAUUUCUCUUCCGAAGUAAUGUGUUUGUAAGGAAAAAAUUUAUAAAAAAGAGGUUAAAGUGGA